rnacentral:rRNA from 1 species
UACGUAGGGUGCAAGCGUUAAUCGGAAUUACUGGGCGUAAAGCGUGCGCAGGCGGUUUGGUAAGACAGAUGUGAAAUCCCCGGGCUUAACCUGGGAACUGCAUUUGUGACUGCCUGGCUAGAGUGUGUAAGAGGGGGGUAGAAUUCCAUGUGUAGCAGUGAAAUGCGUAGAGAUGUGGAGGAACACCGAUGGCGAAGGCAGCCCCCUGGGUCAAAACUGACGCUCAUGCACGAAAGCGUGGGGAGCAAACAGG